rnacentral:lncRNA from 1 species
AAUAUAAAUAGAGUAAAAUUAUUAUUUAUUCAAAACACUUCAUGUCAUCAAUUCAAAUCUCAUUGCAGCGGAAAACAUUAAUUGAACAACGUAAUGGCACGACGGUCUCAACAUAAACAACUUAUUAAAAUCCCAUUCUAGGUGGUUCAUCAACAUAAAAUCAUAGAAAUAUGUAACACAUGGAAAACAAGCAAGAUCCCCAUCCUGUUACGUAUCAGAGCGACCCUAAGACGACGCGUGAGGGAGUCAACUCACUACAACAACUAUUUCUUGUUAUCUGCACGUUACCCAUGUAGAGGCAACAUUCAAACAGAAGGGGUGAGAUUUCACAUUCAAUAAUAAUAAGUAUAUAAUUCAUCAAUAGAAUUUAAUAACAUAGACAACAUCAGUUAAUAAUAUCAAUUCUUCAUAUAGUUCUUCAUUAACAACUCAUUGAUAAUUUGAUAACUUAACAACAACGACCAUGCGACAACAACGAAUUCAAGUCGACAAUGCAACAACAACCACAUCAUCUCGACAAUGCAACUACAACAACUUAAUCA